UGGGUCUGUGCAGUUACCAGCCAGUCCCCUGAGACGUUUCCCCUCCAAAACAGGGGAAAUGAGACUUUGGUUUCAUUUAGUUUUCAUUUUUGCAGCUUUGGAAGGUGCCCAGUCGCAGGGGUUGGUGGAGUCCGGAGGGGAUGGGGAUGUGAAAAAGCCCGGAGACUCUCUCCGCCUCUCCUGCAAAGCCUCCGGCUUCACCUUCAGCAGCUACAAUAUGAAUUGGGUCCGCCAGGCUCCUGGGAAGGGGCUGGAGUGGGUGUCAUUCAUUGGCAGCAGAGGGCGAAAUAUCUACUACUCUGACGCAGUCAAAGGCCGAUUCACCAUCUCCAGGGACAACUCCAACAACCUGCUGUAUCUGCAAAUGACCGGCCUGAAACCCGAGGACACCGCCCGGUAUCACUGUGCGGGGGAAGCACAGUGA